GAUGAUUCAUGGACACAUACACAACAUGAAUGGAAAUAAGAACCCAAAUUUAUUCAUAAUAUUUUAAAGUCAAAUACAAAUUUAUGUCCUAGAAAGAAUACAUGUGUCGGCCUGGUUGGCUUCUAGGGCAUACAUCUAACAAUCUCCCACUUGCACUAAAGCCAAUCAGCCAUAUACCUAAGCCCCAUCUUCUCAAGGUGGACUUCAGUCUUUUGCUGGCUAAGUGGUUUAGUCAAUGGGUCUGCCACGUUAUCCGUGGAGUCUACUCUCU
rnacentral:lncRNA from 1 species